UACGGAGGGUGCAAACGUUGCUCGGAAUCAUUGGGCGUAAAGCGCACGUAGGCGGCCUGUUAAGUCGGGUGUGAAAGCCCUGGGCUCAACCCAGGAAGUGCACUCGAAACUGGCAGGCUUGAAUAUGGAAGAGGGUCGCGGAAUUUCCCGGUGUAGAGGUGAAAUUCGUAGAUAUCGGGAGGAACACCAGUGGCGAAGGCGGCGACCUGGGCCAAUAUUGACGCUGAGGUGCGAAAGCGUGGGGAGCAAACAGG
rnacentral:rRNA from 1 species